GAGUUUGAUCAUGGCUCAGAUUGAACGCUGGCGGCAUGCCUUACACAUGCAAGUCGAACGGCAGCACGGGAGCUUGCUCCUGGUGGCGAGUGGCGAACGGGUGAGUAAUGCAUCGGAACGUAUCCUGGAGUGGGGGAUAACGUAGCGAAAGUUACGCUAAUACCGCAUAUUCUGUGAGCAGGAAAGCGGGGGACCUUCGGGCCUCGCGCUCUUGGAGCGGCCGAUGUCGGAUUAGCUAGUUGGUGAGGUAAAGGCUCACCAAGGCGACGAUCCGUAGCAGGUCUGAGAGGAUGAUCUGCCACACUGGAACUGAGACACGGUCCAGACUCCUACGGGAGGCAGCAGUGGGGAAUUUUGGACAAUGGGGGCAACCCUGAUCCAGCCAUGCCGCGUGAGUGAAGAAGGCCUCGGUUGGU
rnacentral:rRNA from 1 species